AUUCACAAGGGGAGCUUCGGCUGAGAGUUGUCGAUUAUACGACAUGACCCUUAUACCUGAUGCGGGUAAUGCCACCGAAGGGAUGUGAGCAUA
rnacentral:ncRNA from 1 species